AUUGAACGCUGGCGGCAUGCUUUACACAUGCAAGUCGAACGGCAGCACGGGUGCUUGCACCUGGUGGCGAGUGGCGAACGGGUGAGUAAUAUAUCGGAACGUACCCAGUAGAGGGGGAUAACUAGCCGAAAGGUUGGCUAAUACCGCAUACGAUCUACGGAUGAAAGCGGGGGACCGUAAGGCCUCGCGCUAUUGGAGCGGCCGAUAGCUGAUUAGCUUGUUGGUGGGGUAAAGGCCUACCAAGGCAACGAUCAGUAGCUGGUCUGAGAGGACGAUCAGCCACACUGGGACUGAGAACGGCCCAGACUCCUACGGGAGGCAGCAGUGGGGAAUUUUGGACAAUGGGGGAAACCCUGAUCCAGCAAUGCCGCGUGAGUGAAGAAGGCCUUCGGGUUGUAAAGCUCUUUUGUCAGGGAAGAAAAGGCGAAGGUUAAUACCCUUUGCUGCUGACGGUACCUGAAGAAUAAGCACCGGCUAACUACGUGCCAGCCGCCGCAGUAACAC
rnacentral:rRNA from 1 species